rnacentral:rRNA from 1 species
AUUGAACGCUGGCGGCAGGCCUAACACAUGCAAGUCGAACGGUAACAGGAAACAGCUUGCUGUUUCGCUGACGAGUGGCGGACGGGUGAGAAAUGUCUGGGAAACUGCCUGAUGGAGGGGGAUAACUACUGGAAACGGUAGCUAAUACCGCAUAACGUCGCAAGACCAAAGAGGGGGACCCUCGGGCCUCUUGCCAUCGGAUGUGCCCAGAUGGGAUUAGCUUGUUGGUGGGGUAACGGCUCACCAAGGCGACGAUCCCUAGCUGGUCUGAGAGGAUGACCAGCCACACUGGAACUGAGACACGGUCCAGACUCCUACGGGAGGCAGCAGUGGGGAAUAUUGCACAAUGGGCGCAAGCCUGAUGCAGCCAUGCCGCGUGUAUGAAGAAGGCCUUCGGGUUGUAAAGUACUUUCAGCGGGGAGGAAGGGAGUAAAGUUAAUACCUGUGCUCAUUGACGUUACCCGCAGAAGAAGCACCGGCUAACUCCGUG